GGGAGAGAUGGCUGAGUGGUUGAUAGCCCCGUCUUGAAAACCGGUAUAGUUCUUAAAACUACCGAGGGUUCGAUCCCCCCUAUCU
rnacentral:tRNA from 1 species